rnacentral:rRNA from 1 species
GACGAACGCUGGCGGCGUGCCUAAUACAUGCAAGUAGAACGCUGAAGCUUGGUGCUUGCACCGAGCGGAUGAGUUGCGAACGGGUGAGUAACGCGUAGGUAACCUGCCUGGUAGCGGGGGAUAACUAUUGGAAACGAUAGCUAAUACCGCAUAACAGUAGAUAUCGCAUGAUAGCUACUUGAAAGGUGCAAAUGCACCACUACCAGAUGGACCUGCGUUGUAUUAGCUAGUUGGUGAGGUAACGGCUCACCAAGGCAACGAUACAUAGCCGACCGGAGAGGGUGGUCGGCCACACUGGGACGGGGACACGGCCCAGACGCCUACGGGAGGCAGCAGUAGGGAAUCUUCGGCAAUGGACGGAAGUCUGACCGAGCAACGCCGCGUGAGUGAAGAAGGUUUUCGGAUCGUAAAGCUCUGUUGUAAGAGAAGAACGAGUGUGAGAGUGGAAAGUUCACACUGUGACGGUAUCUUACCAGAAAGGGACGGCUAACUACGUG